rnacentral:rRNA from 1 species
UACGUAGGGACCGAGCGUUGUCCGGAUUCAUUGGGCGUAAAGAGCUCGUAGGCGGCUGUUCAAGUCGAACGUGAAAACUCGGAGCUCAACUCCGAGCCUGCGUUCGAUACUGGACGGCUAGAGUCUGGUAGGGGGAUCUGGAAUUCCUGGUGUAGCGGUGGAAUGUGCAGAUAUCAGGAGGAACACCGGUGGCGAAGGCGGGAUCCUGGGCCAGUACUGACGCUGAGGAGCGAAAGCGUGGGGAGCAAACAGG